UAGGGAAUCUUCCACAAUGGACGCAGGUCUGAUGGAGCAACGCCGCGUGAGUGAAGAAGGCUUUCGGGUCGUAAAACUCUGUUGUUGGAGAAGAAUGGUCGGCAGAGUAACUGUUGUCGGCGUGACGGUAUCCAACCAGAAAGCCACGGCUAACUACGUGCCAGCAGCCGCGGUAAUACGUAGGUGGCAAGCGUUGUCCGGAUUUAUUGGGCGUAAAGCGAGCGCAGGCGGUUUUUUAGGUCUGAUGUGAAAGCCUUCGGCUUAACCGGAGAAGUGCAUCGGAAACCGGGAGACUUGAGUGCAGAAGAGGACAGUGGAACUCCAUGUGUAGCGGUGAAAUGCGUAGAUAUAUGGAAGAACACCAGUGGCGAAGGCGGCUGUCUGGUCUGUAACUGACGCUGAGGCUCGAAAGCAUGGGUAGCGAACAGGAUUAGAUACCCUGGUAGUCCAUGCCGUAAACGAUGAGUGCUAAGUGUUGGAGGGUUUCCGCC
rnacentral:rRNA from 1 species